CUCUGAUGCAGCAAUGCCGCGUGAGUGAAGAAGGCCCUUGGGUCGUAAAGCUCUUUUAUGGGGGAAGAUGAUGACGGUACCCCAGGAAUAAGCACCGGCUAACUACGUGCCAGCAGCCGCGGUAAUACGUAGGGUGCGAGCGUUGUUCGGAAUUACUGGGCGUAAAGGGCGCGCAGGCGGAGGUGCAAGUCGGAGGUGAAAGCCCGGGGCUCAACCCCGGAGGGUCUUUCGAAACUGCAUCUCUAGAGAGGGUCAGGGGCCGGCAGAAUUCCUGGUGUAGAGGUGAAAUUCGUAGAUAUCAGGAGGAAUACCGGUGGCGAAAGCGGCCGGACUGGGGCCACUCUGACGCUGAGGCGCGAAAGCGUGGGGAGCAAACAGGAUUAGAUACCCUGGUAGUCCACGCCGUAAACGAUGAGCACUGGACGUUCGGAGGGUUCGACCCUU
rnacentral:rRNA from 1 species